rnacentral:rRNA from 1 species
GACGAACGCUGGCGGCGUGCUUAACACAUGCAAGUCGAGCGGUAAGGCCCUUCGGGGUACACGAGCGGCGAACGGGUGAGUAACACGUGGGUAACCUGCCCUCAGCUCUGGGAUAAGCCCGGGAAACUGGGUCUAAUACCGGAUAUCACCUUGGGAGGCAUCUUCCGGGGUUGAAAGUUUUUGGCGGCUGAGGAUGGGCCCGCGGCCUAUCAGCUUGUUGGGUGGGGUAGUGGCCUACCAAGGCGACGACGGGGAGCCGGCCUGAGAGGGCGACCGGCCACACUGGGACUGAGACACGGCCCAGACUCCUACGGGAGGCAGCAGUGGGGAAUAUUGCACAAUGGCGAAAGCCUGAUGCAGCGACGCCGCGUGAGGGAUGACGGCCU